rnacentral:rRNA from 1 species
AGAUUGAACGCUGGCGGCAUGCCUAACACAUGCAAGUCGAACGGGAGUAGCAAUACUCUAGUGGCGGACGGGUGAGGAAUACGUAGGAAUUUGCCCUUAAGUGGGGGAUAACCCGGGGAAACCCGGAUUAAUACCGCAUGACCUCGAAAGAGCAAAGUGGGGGAUCGCAAGACCUCACGCUUUUGGAGAAGCCUACGUCGGAUUAGCUAGUUGG